UUCCAUGGCGGGCGAUGUGUGGGGAUCCUGAUCCGCCGGAAUUUUUGCCUUGUAAAACCACCGGUAUGCCAACCCGCAUCGCCCGCCACCUUG
rnacentral:antisense_RNA from 1 species